rnacentral:lncRNA from 1 species
AUUCUAUGUUGUGAUUUAUAACAACUGUCUAUAGAUUCUAUGUUGUGAUUUAUAACAACAUGACAUAGGGGUUUAAAGCCAACUGUCUAUAGAUUCUAUGUUGUGAUUUAUAACAACAUGACAUAGGGGUUUAAAGCCAACUGUCUAUAGAUUCUAUGUUUGUUUAUACAACAUGACAUAGGGGUUAAAGCCAACUGUCUAUAGAUUCUAUGUUGUGAUUUAUAAACAACAUGACAUAGGGUUUAAAGCAACUGUCUAUAGAUUCUAUGUUGUGAUUUAUAACAACUGUCUAUAGAUUCUAUGUGUGAUUUAUAACAACUGUCUAUAGAUUCUAUGUUGUGAUUUAUACAACUGUCUAUAGUUCUAUGUUGUGAUUUACAACAACAUGACAUAGGGGUUUGAAACCAAGUGAGGUGUGACAGAGCAGAAUUUAAUAUAAUAUUUUAUCCUUUAGAGACGUUUCAACUGUUAGAUUAAACCUGUGUAUCUUCUACCUCAUCUCGGAACUAGGAGGAGGAUUCAGUUUGUUGUUUUUUUGUAUGUAAAUAAAACAACAACACAACUACAGUAGCAAUCCCCGUUGUUAUUGCACCACUGUGGAACACAAAUCCUCUGUGUUAAAGGCUUUUUCUCCCUCUGUGCACUUCCUGUCCUCUGUGCACUUCCUGUCCGCUGUUACAAUGAGCUGUGGUACUUUGAACUGAGUAGGAAAUGAACAUCAAAUCACAGGCUAGUUACACCACAGCUGCUGUUAGUUACACCACAGCUGUUAGUUACAACCACAGCUGUUAGUUACACCACAGCUGUUAGUUACACCACAGCUGUUAGUUACACCACAGCUGUUAGUUACACCACAGCUGCUGUUAGUUACACCACAGCUGCUACUAGUUACACCACAGCUGUUAGUUACACCACAGCUGCUGUUAGUUACAUCACAGCUGCUGUUAGUUACACCACAGCUGCUGCUAGUUACACCACAGCUGUUGCUAGUUACACCACAGCUGCUGUUAGUUACACCACAGCUGUUAGUUACACCACAGCUACUGUUAGUUACACCACAGCUACUGUUAGUUACACCACAGCUGCUGUUAGUUAA